CAGAGGUGGCGCUUCCCUGUCUCCUUUGUACUCACCGAUCCAGGGGCGAAGUCCCUGCCCAUUCGAUCUAGCCGCUGCUUGGGGCUUUCACCACACGUGCCCACCAGUGUGACAGAGAUGUUGUCCAGUGUGCCGGCCCUCAGCCGGUCCCUCUGGCUGACUCACCCAGACGAGUAUCAGGAGUCUGGGUUCCACUGCGGAGGGAGGAACCAGAUGCUGAGACGGAGACAAGGAGGAGGUGACGCCUGUAUAAUUGGGACACUGCCCUCUGCCUGGUCAGCGGCCCGGACUGAUGCCCUGGACUGCUUGUCCGCCCAGUCCCCAAUGUCCCCUAAGAUCUGUUCCUCCCCAUUCCCAGGCGGAGAUGAGCACAGGGCACCUGCAUUCCUACGUGUGAAUCAUCCGUGUGAAUCACUAAACAGUGGAGAGCUGCACGUGGUCAUAAAUCUCAUGUGACUGCAGCCACACGCAGGACCGCCCUGCGCCUGCAGGACCCGGGAGCCCGAGUGUCCGGGAUCUGGGCCACGUGGGACUGGGGAAGAACCUCUCGGAGGGAGAAGCCCAUAGUCCGCAGCGGCCCCGCGCGGCCAGUUCCGGCGCCGCACCGUUCAAGCCUCCGCUAUGCUCCAGUCCCUGCGUCUCAGCCUCGGCUGGGGCUGUAAGAACGGGAGGCAGAGAAAGCUCAAUCAGCAGCAGGUGGGCUUCACCCGCCGCCUCUGAAUCUGUGCCAAAAUAUUCUGCAUAGAUACACACAAUCCUCUUGCGGUUCUACAAACCUGGAUUUUCACAUAGAGAACUCUCUUAUAAAGAAAGAGUAACCAACUUGUUAAGAGCCCGGAUAGCUCAGUCGGUAGAGCAUCAGACUUUUAAUCUGAGGGUCCAGGGUUCAAGUCCCUGUUCGGGCGGAUCGUUUUACCUUUUAGGUACCACGCUUCGCUUAAAAUAGUUACUAGCUUUUAAAACUAAGUGGAACAGAAACUUGGUUUCCGCAAAAUACAGCAACUGACGGUGGAGGGUAAUAAACAUACUCUAAAAACGA